AUACAUCAUGUACAGGUACAAGUUUCCAAUGAUAAGUGUAAAUGUAUUGUAUACCUAAAAUGUACCAGUAAAAGAAUUUAAGGAAAAAAAAAAGAAUGAGUUUUCCCCUUUUAGGGAAGGAUCCUCUCCAUGGCUCAUGUGUUUGUUGGCAGAAUCCAGUUCCGUGUGGCUGUAGGACUCAUGGAAACUUCCUUCCUCGCAGCAGGCAAGGGAGGAGUGUAUAGAAGGAGGCUGCUAGCAAGAUGGACUCCUCUCUGACCGCUUGGAAUGUGGGAUGCAGACAGACAAGAUUCCAUUAAUCUCUUCCUGGGUGUUUUCCAUCCCACUGACGGGAAACCUCAUCUCUGGGAACUCCCAACAGAUUUUUAUCUACAUCACAAAAAUACCAUGAAACUUUUACCAACAAGAAGAAGCUACACUUACUGGUGGACACCAGAGGUAAUAAAGCAUUUACCACUGCCUUAUGAUGAAGUUAUCUGUGCUGCAAACUUAAAGAAAUUGAUAGUGAAGAAAUUUCACAGAUAUGAAGAAGAGAUUGAUAUCCACAAUGAAUUCUUUCGGCCGUAUGAACUGAGCAGUUUUGAUGAUACUUUUUGCUUGGCUAUGACAAGUUCUGCACGUGACUUUAUGCCUAAGACUGUUGGCAUCGAUCCAAGCCCAUUCACUGUGAGGAAACCAGAUGAAACUGGAAAAUCAGUGUUGGGAAACAAAGCCAAUAGAGAAGAAGCCAUAUUGCAGCGGAAAACAGCAGCCAGCGCCCCGCCACCUCCCAGCGAAGAGGCUGUGUCCAGCAGUUCCGAUGAUGACUCUGGGACUGACCGUGAAGAGGAGGGCUCUGUGUCUCAGCGUUCCACCCCUGUGAAGAUGACCGACACAGGAGACAGUGCCAAAGUGACCGAGAAUAUGGUCCAGCCCAUGAAAGAGGUAUAUGGAAUUAACCUCUCAGAUGGCCUUUCAGAAGAAGAUUUCUCUGUUUAUUCAAGAUUUGUACAGCUGGGGCAGAGUCAACAUAAACAAGACAAGAGCAGCCAGCAGCUCUGUUCCAGGUGCUCUGUUGGAGUUAUAAAAUUAACACCUAUCUCAGCUUUUUCACAAGACAGCAUCUAUGAAGUUCAGCCCCCCAGAGUAGACAGAAAAUCUACAGAGAUCUUCCAGGCCCACAUCCAGGCCAGUCAAGGGAUCAUGCAGCCCCUAGGAAAGGAGGACACUUCCAUGUACCGAGAGUACAUCAGAAAUCGAUACCUGUGAGGAGUGCAGGGCCAUGGGGGCCCUGAGAGGGACCGAGGAAGUCACAUUAUAAUCUGCUCUGUCUCAUCUGAAAGAAGUAAUUUUCCAAAUUCCUUUGCAUCUGAAGUUUUUUCCUCUUUUUGUACCAUAUAAAUUAAAAAAUAUAAUAAAGAAAUGGUUGAAUAUUUUGCUGUCAUUUUCUUUGGUUUCGUUUAUUUAUUCAUUCAUUUAUUUGGUUCUUUGAGACAGGGUCUUACUGUGUAGUUCAGGCUGGCCUUCAACUUGAGUGACCCUCCUGCCUCAGCCUCCAUAGUGCUGGGAUUACAGGCAUGUGCCACCACACCUGGCUGCUUUUACUUUAUUUUAGAAAUGCUUUAUUUAGAAAUGUGGUAAUAUAGUAUCUUAGCAACACAUUAUGAAGUUUACAUGGACUUUGUGAGUAUCCACUGUGUACUAGGCACUAUGGUAAGACCUAAGAAUAUCACAGUGAACAAAACAAGACAUAACAUUCUUCUCUAAGGUGGAAUGACAACAAAGUAGUUUUCUUAUCCUUAUCCAUGAAGGCAAAAUGGUUUUCUUUAUGGUGAUUUUUUUUGUAUUUGUUCUAAUGGUUUUAUGUUAACUUUGUAUUUUGACUUUAAAAAAGUUCAUUGCCCUGAAAACCCUUGUUUUGGGGAAAUGAUCAGUGAAAUAUUAAUGAAUAAAGGGAUAAGAUGUCAAUAAAGUGCUCUCCAGUGGUUCAGGGAAAAGAAUAUGUCAUAAGCAAAUGGAGUAAAACAUAAUAAUCGAUAAAUCUGAGUAAAGAGCCUAUUGAAGUAUUCUUUGAAUUACUCUUGAGAGUGUUUCCAUAAGUAUAAAAUUAUAUCAAAGUAAAACAUUAAAAUUGCUGUUCUGGCUGACUUUUAGUGUGCAGUUAUGUUACCUCAUCUGACACCACCAUCCAGGAGGUGCUGUUGGUUAUAUGCACAACUGCUUGUUUUCCAUGUAGUCAAACACUAAUGUGACAGCUGUCUGUGUUUUCUAACAGUUUCACACAGAGGAUUUGUCUCAUCAUGCAUAUGCAUUUAUCACAAAUGGUCUCACUCUUCCCUCCCAAAAAAUAACAUAGAGAAGGGAACCAAGCCAUCUAAUGGGAGAAGAAAAGUGACCAUUUACAGAUCACAUCCUUAAGAUGCUGGGAUGCUAUGCACGGUUUUACAUUGGAAAUAGAUAGAUGUUAAGUCCCCAUUUAACAGAAGUUUUUGAUGCCAUCAUGAAAUCAAAAGUGGAGAAUGACACCAUAACAGCUAAGAAGGAUUUUGUAUUGACACAGUUUAAAUCUCUAACACAGCUCACAUGAGUCUUCCCAAGUCCUGAGUAACUGCAGAGGUGCCUGUGUUAGUUACUUUUCUCACAUUGCUGAGACAAAAUACCUGAUACCCAAAGUUAGAGGGGAAGAGGUUCAUUUGGCUUAUACUUUGUAGAGGUUUCAGUCCAUAAUCGGCCGGCUCUGAGGCUGGGAUGGCAAACAAGCAUCACAGAGGAGAAACGACAUGGCACACACAAGGUUGCAAAGGCAACAAGAGAGUUAACAGCAUCUUUCUGUCCCUUUUAUUUUAUUCAGACUACCGGGAUUAGGGCGGUGUCAAACAAAUCGCUCACAUAUAGUGGUUUAGUAAUCACACACCCUUAACCCCAGCGUGUCACACAUUCCAGAUUCAACUACCUCUGAAAAAGAAAGUCCCAUCUCAUCUGCAUGAAGCUUUGGGGAGACAUCUGAGCACAACCCAUAACAGUGCCAGUGCCAGUUAUAGAUCAGACACUGAUCUUCAUUUUAUGAAUGUUAUUUUAUUUAUUUAUUUAUUUUUUGUACCGGGGAUCAAACUCAGGUCCUUGCGCUUGC
rnacentral:lncRNA from 1 species